UUUAAUUGAUCUUUAUUGAGCAGAACCUUCCCUUCUGCUUAUAAAGGAAAGGAUGGCUCUUUCCCUUGAUUCUGUCUGGAAGACUUAAUAGCCCCAGUAUCCUCUUGUAGCAGGGGUACUUAACGACCGGAGACCAUCAUAAAUAGAGUUCAUUGUCUGAAAUACAAGCCAUGUUCUAAUCGGCCGCCACAAGGAGAUGGCUUUGGUGGUGUCUGUUGAUUUUUGAAGGGGCUCCUUCCCGGCUGGCAAGUGCACUGUGCUUGCCAUUCAGGGUCUGCUGACAAAUUCACAGAUGCCUUUGGCAAAAUCAUCUAUAGUCCCUUGCCAAAGCCCCUUGAGGAUGUCAUGACGUAUAUCGACUGCAUCUCCUCCUGCAGGAGCUCCUAGACGAGGCCCAAGAGCUGAGCCUUAAUCAUUUGCACGCACCAUGCACGGAUACACAACGUGUGUGUGGAUAUGAAGACGAUUAUUGCAACAUGGUCAGGAUUCAGAAAGAAUUCCGGAGUCGGGACGAGUAGAGCCAGCUGACCUCGCCCACCUGUCACCUGCCCCGUCUCUCCCCAUCCUCCAAGUGGCCAUCUUGAUGUUAGGCACCAUGGCCAUCAUUCAUAAACCAAAUUUUGGAAACUGUUUUAGAAAAACAAUGUGUUCUUGAAUCGACAAAAGAAUGGAAUUUUUGAAAUGAAGACUGUCCCCAAAAAUCUAA